rnacentral:snRNA from 1 species
GUUAUAUGUUGCACAUAUACUAAAAUUGGAACGAUACAGAGAAAAUUAGCCCGGCCCCUGCGCAAGGUUGACAUGCAAAGUUGUGAAGCGUUCCACAUUUUU